rnacentral:rRNA from 1 species
GACGAACGCUGGCGGCGUGCCUAAUACAUGCAAGUCGAACGCUUCUUUCCUCCCGAGUGCUUGCACUCAAUUGGAAAGAGGAGUGGCGGACGGGUGAGUAACACGUGGGUAACCUACCCAUCAGAGGGGGAUGACACUUGGAAACAGGUGCUAAUACCGCAUAACAGUUUAUGCCGCAUGGCAUAAGAGUGAAAGGCGCUUUCGGGUGUCGCUGAUGGAUGGACCCGCGGUGCAUUAGCUAGUUGGUGAGGUAACGGCUCACCAAGGCCACGAUGCAUAGCCGACCUGAGAGGGUGAUCGGCCACACUGGGACUGAGACACGGCCCAGACUCCUACGGGAGGCAGCAGUAGGGAAUCUUCGGCAAUGGACGAAAGUCUGACCGAGCAACGCCGCGUGGGUGAAGAAGGUUUUCGGAUCGUAAAACUCUGUUGUUAGAGAAGAACAAGGACGUUAGUAACUGAACGUCCCCUGACGGUAUCUAACCAGAAAGCCACGGCUAACUACGUG